CUAGAUAUAAACGAAAAGGGUUCAGCGGUUUCGGCUUCGCUCGUCAUGCUAUGAUAUCCCAAAAUAUCACCCUUCCCGCUCGGAUAUAAACACAAACAUUUAGCCUACAAAACUCACGUCAUUUCCCAUUUCCCCCAAAUCACAAAAAUGAAGUACGUUUUGAUCACCGGAGGAGUAGUAAGCGGCCUCGGCAAAGGCGUCACCGCCAGUAGCAUCGGCGUCGUGCUUAAGGCCUGUGGCCUUCGCGUCACUUCCAUCAAAAUCGAUCCGUAUUUGAACAUAGACGCUGGCACCAUGUCUCCCUUUGAACAUGGAGAGGUUUUUGUUCUUGAUGAUGGCGGAGAGGUUGAUUUGGAUUUGGGAAAUUAUGAGCGUUUCCUUGAUGUCACGCUUACAAAGGAUAACAACAUCACCACUGGGAAAAUAUAUCAGUCUGUUCUUGAGAAGGAGCGCAAAGGGGACUAUCUUGGGAAAACUGUUCAGGUGGUUCCGCAUAUCACUGAUGCCAUCAGAAAUUGGAUUGAGUCGGUUGCUGUGAUCCCAGUGGAUGGAAAUGAAGGCCCUGCUGAUGUCUGUGUGAUUGAGCUUGGAGGCACUGUGGGUGAUAUUGAAUCUAUGCCGUUUAUUGAGGCUCUGCGGCAAUUGUCCUUUCAAGUGGGGCCUGACAACUUCUGUCUCAUCCAUGUUAGCCUGAUACCAGUGUUGGGUGUAGUGGGGGAGCAAAAAACAAAGCCUACACAACAUAGUGUCAGGGAACUGAGAGCAUUGGGCUUGACCCCUCAUCUUUUAGCAAGUCGCUCUGCUGAGCCUCUGCUGGAUAGCACUAGGGAAAAACUCUCACAAUUCUGCCAUGUUCCAAUUAACAAUAUUCUGAAUAUCCAUGAUGUACCAAAUAUUUGGCACAUUCCCCUGUUACUUAGAAAUCAAAAUGCCCACCAUUCAAUUUUACAGCAGUUUAACUUACUUAGCCGUGCUACGCCUCCUGAUUUGCAGCAAUGGACUGAGAUGGCUGAGAGCUAUGACAAUCUUACUGAAUCUGUUAGGAUCGCGAUGGUGGGAAAAUAUGUUGGUCUAACAGAUUCAUAUUUAUCCGUUGUAAAGGCCCUACUGCAUGCUUGCGUUGCACGUUCAGUGAGACCAUCAAUUGACUGGAUUGCAGCUUCUGACCUUGAAGAUGAGAGUGCACAAUCUACACCAGAAGCACAUGCUGCAGCGUGGAAGACUCUGAGGAGUGCUGCUUGUGUCUUGGUUCCCGGAGGAUUUGGAGAUCGUGGUGUGAGGGGUAUGAUGCUAGCUGCCAAAUAUGCCAGAGAGAACAAUGUUCCUUACCUGGGGAUUUGCUUGGGAAUGCAAAUUUCUGUAAUUGAGUUUGCUAGAUCAGUUUUGGGCUGGGAAAGAGCGAACAGUGUAGAGUUUGAUGCCCAAACACCGAAUCCUGUUGUAAUUUUCAUGCCAGAGGGUUCACGGACGCAUAUGGGAAGUACCAUGAGACUUGGAUCUCGAAGAACACUCUUACAUACACGUGAUUGUAUCACUUCCAAACUGUACGGAAGUUCCGAGUACGUGGAUGAACGGCAUCGUCACAGAUAUGAGGUAAAUCCGGAUGUCAUUGAAACUUUAGAAGAAGCUGGGCUAAAAUUUGUCGGCAAGGAUGAAAGUGGAAAAAGAAUGGAGAUCUUAGAGCAUCCAAGUCACCCAUUCUAUGUUGGCGUGCAGUUUCAUCCUGAAUUCAAAUCUCGGCCUGGGAGACCAUCUGCUUUGUUUUUAGGUCUCAUAUUGGCGGCAACAGGGAAGUUGGAAGAACAUAUCACAAGUAUUCAUGAGAAUGGAAGCUGAUGUACGAUUCUUUACUAUAGGACUCAUUCCUACAUUACUUUUCUAAGUUAAAUUGGCUCUCUUAAGGGAAAAUAAUUGGGAGGGCAAGAAAGAGGGAAGUAGGAACUGAAGGAGGAAUGGGAAACUCUGAAGUAUAGUAUGUGUGCAGCUGCCUCAUGCUUCUCUAGAAAAUGAAAGUAGUGAUAAUUGUUUGAUGUGCAUAGAGGUCUGGAGCAGAGCUAAUUUCCUCGUCUACUCUAUAUAAGGAAGUUACUUUUUAUUUCAAAGCUAUUAAUUAGCCCGACACUUACGGAUUUAUAUAUAACUACAGUUUAAGAUUGUUUCCUUAUUCACUUUACCAUGCCCUAAAUGUACGUGGUCUUUUUCUAUUUAUGUUUGCUAAUUAGGUUUAAAAUUUUCUUUUCAAAAAUUGUAAGUAGAAUUAAGGUGAUACACGUGUAUUUGAUAUUUUAUUUCCCUAGAAUUGUGUUAUUUACCCGCCUGGUGAUUCAUUAAGAUAAAUGAAAUUGUUUGAAGAUAAUAUUAUAAUAUUAUAAUUAUGUCA